rnacentral:rRNA from 1 species
AACCCGACUCCAUGAAGCUGGAUUCGCUAGUAAUCGCGCAUCAGCCACGGCGCGGUGAAUACGUUCCCGGGCCUUGUACACACCGCCCGUCACACCAUGGGAGUCGGAAAUGCCCGAAGUCUGUGACCCAACCUACGGGAGGGAGCAGCCGAAGGCAGGUCGGAUGACUGGGGUGAAGUCGUAACAAGGUACC